GGCAAGGUGGCCGAGCGGUCUAAGGCGCCAGAUUAAGGCUAACCUUAAUUAGAAAUAUUCAGCGGUGAUCUUUCCACCAACAGAUAUUCUGGUUCUCUAACGAGAGCGUGGGUUCGAAUCCCACCCUUGUCA